rnacentral:rRNA from 1 species
GAAAAGAACCCCGGCGAGGGGAGUGAAAAAGAACCUGAAACCGUGUACGUACAAGCAGUGGGAGCACAGAGCAAUCUGUGUGACUGCGUACCUUUUGUAUAAUGGGUCAGCGACUUAUAUUCUGUAGCAAGGUUAACCGAAUAGGGGAGCCGAAGGGAAACCGAGUCUUAACUGGGCGUUAAGUUGCAGGGUAUAGACCCGAAACCCGGUGAUCUAGCCAUGGGCAGGUUGAAGGUUGGGUAACACUAACUGGAGGACCGAACCGACUAAUGUUGAAAAAUUAGCGGAUGACUUGUGGCUGGGGGUGAAAGGCCAAUCAAACCGGGAGAUAGCUGGUUCUCCCCGAAAGCUAUUUAGGUAGCGCCUCGUGAAUUCAUCUCCGGGGGUAGAGCACUGUUUCGGCAAGGGGGUCAUCCCGACUUACCAACCCGAUGCAAACUGCGAAUACCGGAGAAUGUUAUCACGGGAGACACACGGCGGGUGCUAACGUCCGUCGUGAAGAGGGAAACAACCCAGACCGCCAGCUAAGGUCCCAAAGUCAUGGUUAAGUGGGAAACGAUGUGGGAAGGCCCAGACAGCCAGGAUGUUGGCUUAGAAGCAGCCAUCAUUUAAAGAAAGCGUAAUAGCUCACUGGUCGAGUCGGCCUGCGCGGAAGAUGUAACGGGGCUAAACCAUGCAC